AAUGAACGUUGGCGGCAUGGAUUAGGCAUGCAAGUCGAGCGAGAAAUCUCCUGCUUGCAGGAGAUGGAAAGCGGCGAAAGGGAGAGUAACGCGUGGAUUAUCUACCCCCGGGUCUGGGAUAGCUGCGGGAAACUGCAGGUAAUACCGGAUAACGUCUCCGGACCAAAGGUGUGAUUCCGCCUGGGUGAUGAGUCCGCGUCCUAUUAGCUUGUUGGUGGGGUAACAGCCUACCAAGGCAAUGAUGGGUACCGGGUGUGAGAGCAUGGCCCGGCUCACUGGGACUGAGACACUGCCCAGACACCUACGGGUGGCUGCAGUCGAGAAUCUUCGGCAAUGGACGCAAGUCUGACCGAGCGAUGCCGCGUGCGGGAUGAAGGCCUUCGGGUUGUAAACCGCUGUCAGUUGGGAGGAAAUCUAUGGGGGUCAUCCCCUGUAGUUGACCUAUCUUCAGAGGAAGUACGGGCUAAGUUCGUG
rnacentral:rRNA from 1 species